AGGCACUGAUAAGAUUAAUUUUAUUCAUUGCCUACAUUUUAUGUAGAUGAUGUAGAUCAUGUAGUGUUAAUGAGAUUCAUAAUGUUUAUUAAUGUUAUUCAUUGCACAUGACGUCAUAAGGUCAAUGUAUUUGCUUAGCUAGCUGCUAGAACUAUUAUAGAUUAUCUUUGGCAACAAAUACGGCGGACUUAAACAAGCAUACACUGUAUAUUGCAAAUAAUACAGCAGUAUGAACAUAGUGUAAAUUUUGGUGUUGAAAUCUGGACCCGGGCCUAAGUGCGCAGAGACCUUAAGGGUACUCAGGUGCAUUAAGGACUGGGACAUUUAAUUAUUGCUGACUUGGCGAAUUCGAAGCUCCGCCCCCACGGUAACCAUGGUUUCCGCCCACUCGUGGUUUACCACUCACGUGAUACUGAGCUUCAUUUUUAUUAUUAGGCCUUGUGCUUGAAACUUGCUGUACUGCUUUAGCAAUCUAGCUGUGUGGAUGCAGCAUGUGCAGCGUACGUGAAUAAGAGAGUUGCCUGGUUAGUGAAUACUAAGGGUAUCAUCACAGAAUCAGCUGCUGAUGAGAGCGAGCACGUACAAUGGCUCAAGCUAGUGCAAUGACAUAAUUCAAUGACAUAAUUAUAUAGGUGUUUGAUAUAGAGACAAUUCUCAGUUCAAUGUUCUGGUCCUCUUCCUGUAUGUUAUUUAGAUGUUAUUAUUGUGUUGUAAACCAUUUUUAAAGACAAACUGUGAAAAAUAAAAAAGUGAUGA